UACGGAAGGGGCUAGCGUUGUUCGGAUUUACUGGGCGUAAAGCGCAUGUAGGCGGCGGAUCAAGUGGGGCGUGAAAGGCCUGGGCUCAACCUGGGAACUGCGCUUCAGACUGGUUCGCUCGAGUUCGGGAGAGGGUGGUGGAAUUCCCAGUGUAGAGGUGAAAUUCGUAGAUAUUGGGAGGAACACCGGUGGCGAAGGCGGCCACCUGGCCCGAGACUGACGCUCAAGUGCGAAAGCGUGGGGAGCAAACAGGAUUAGAUACCCUGGUAGUCCACGCUGUAAACGAUGGGUGCUAGAUGUCGGGGGGCUUGCUCUUCGGUGUCGCAGCUAACGCGUUAAGCACCCCGCCUGGGGAGUACGGCCGCAAGGUUAAA
rnacentral:rRNA from 1 species